GAGAAAUGUCUGUUUAGAUCUUCUGCCCAUUUUUUGAUUGGGUUGUUUUUGUUUUUGUUUGAUAUUGAGCUGUAUGAGCUAUUUGUGUAUUUUAGAGAUUAAUCCUUUGUCAGUUGCCAAUAUUUUUCUUUCUUGAAAUAUUCUGAUUUUUCAACAUUGACUUGAUUUUUAAGAUCCGAGCCAACGAAUCCAAAGCUGUAUGCAAAUCCUGUCUGGCCCCAGGGUUCUCCAGGUUUCUCCCUCCAGUGGAAAGAAAGAGCUGAACCCAGUGUAUUUGGUCCCCAGUAAAUCCACAAGAAGCACCAGCUGUGAUUAUAAUAAUGAUUUGUUUUCAUUGCUGACCUUUGUGAGAGCACUUCCCGAAGGAGGACUAGGCUGAAGUCAGAUCACAGGGCCUGAAAACCAACGGCUAAUGAGGCUGUGGAGGCAAUAAUUUAGUCUUUUCUAAUUGCAAGUUGAGGAGUGCUGAGAAGGUGAGCAAGGACAGAAGCUUGAAGGGGAAUCCGGGAACAGAAACAUUCUUCAUUCACGUUUAUCUUCAGAUUAAAGGAAGAGGUCUUUUAAACAGGCCAGAAUCCCAACUGUCCAGAUUUUAUGUUUACAGUAGAAAUGAAUCUGAUGGAUAAUUCUGUGUUAUCAGAGCUGCUGUUCUUAACAGCACUUAAUCCAGUACUAUCUAGCGCCUAAGAAUUUCACUUUUUAAGUUACAUCAGUCACCACAUACACCGUGCCUGUCACAAUCCCUGCCCUGCUGCAGGCACUUGCACCUGCUGAGUUAGUGCUGUUUGUAGGUAACAGAUUUAUGGGAAAGGAGGUUAUAAGCCAAAGGGCAGGAGUAGGUCACAAUGGUUAAGGAUCAGGCCUGGAUUGCUGUCACAGCUCUAGGACCUUCCUUAGGCAGUUUAUGUGACUUCCUUUUUUUUUUUUUCUUUUCUUUUUGCUUUUUAGGGCCGAACCCGUGGCAUAUGGAGGCUCCCAAGCUAGGGGUUGAAUUGGAGCUACAGCUGCUGGCCUACACCAUAGCCACAGCAACAUGGGAUCCGAGCCAUGUCUGUGACCUAUACCACAGCUCAUGACAACACUGGAAUCUUAACCUACUGAUUGAGGCUAGGGAUCAAACCCACAUCCUCAUGGAUACUAGUCCAAUUCAUUUCUGUGGCGCCACAACAGGAACUCCUGUGUGACUUCGCAAUAUCUCCCUUUCCUCAUAGUUGUUGGGGGCUUAAUGGAGAAGAUGUAAGUAAAGUGUUUUGCACACAGGGCCUGGGAUGUGGUUAGGACUCAGAAAGUAUUAGCUGUUAUGAAUCAUGCAGAGUAAAUCAGGGAAUGGCCUUCAUGUGCAGAAGGCAUAUAAACACAAUAAAUAUUUCUGUUUCAUGUCUGUGAUUUGAACUUUCUAAAUAACAAGGACCUGGUUCAUAUAAGCCUCUUUGUAUAGAGCUGUGUUCAGUUAGAGAACGUAACAAAAUCUUUUUGAUGUUAAUGAAGUUGAGAGGCCGUGUUAAGAUAAAAGGAAUGUUAGUGAAAUGAAGCAGCAAUAAAGUCAACUAAAGCAGCUUGAAUUUCAUAAAGAAUCUAUCCAUGGCUUUUAUGUGGCCUCCUCAGGCCCAUUCUGUCUAUUCUUAAUAAAAUAAAAUCUUAAUUAACAGAAGCUUACUGAGCACUCCCUGAAUGGGAUGGAUCUUUCAGCACUCAUGUUUAAGAACUGGAGGCAAAUCAUAAAGCAAGAAAUUAGGCUUGAAACCAACAUUCAGGACAUAUUCUUGAAUCAAUUCACAUUCAACCCAACCAAUAGGGGUCCCUAUCCUUUCAUCUCCCAGAUGCCUUGUUCCCACAAGAAUCUGAAAACAGAAGAGAGGUGAAUGACACAGGCCACCAUCUUGGAGCUUUACUGGAACCGUAACAAGGAAGCUUUGAGGUCUGCUGGUAACCACAGGAAGAACUAAAAAUCUUGUAGGUGAUUCAUUUUUUUAGAGCUGUGGUCAUUCAGUAUGUGUCAGAUGCUAUGUUAGAUGCUGGGGACUCAGCAGUAAAUCACAGUCCCUACCCUCCUGGAGAUUAUGGCUUAUCAGGAAGAUGAAAACUGAACAGAGAAUGUUAAGUGCAGAGUUCCCAUUGUGGCUCAAUAGAAAUGAACCCAACUAGUAUCCAUGAGGAUGCAGGUUUGAUCCCUGGCCUUGCUCAAUGGGUUAGGGAUCCAGCAUUGGUGUAAGCUACGGUGUAGAUGUGGCUUAGAUCUCGUGUCACUGUGGCUUUGGCCUAGGCCUGCAGCUGUAGCUCUGAUUUGAUCCCUAGCCUGGGAACUUCCAUAUGCCACAGGUGAUAGGGUCCUAAAAAGAAAAAAAAAGUUAGGUGCUUUGAAGGAAAAGACUAUUUUUAUUGUUUGGUUUUGUUCUCUAAUCUUGUAGGAGUCUCCUAACCAACUUUUUUUGGGGAAAUAUAUGUGUGUGGGGGGGAGCACUGGGGUGCAGGUUCCAUCCCCAGCCCCUCAUAGUGGCUUAAGGAUCUGGCAUUGCCACAGCUGUGGCAUUGGUUGCAACUGAUCUGAUCUCUUCUGGCUGGGAACUCCAUAUGCCAUGGGGUGGCCAAAAAGGAAAAACAAAACAAGAACCACUUGCGGUCAGGGAGCCAGACUUCCCAGUGAAUGUAAUUCACUGUGCUGGGAAGCCGGGAUUUGACCCAGGUAUCACUAAGUUUAUUACAAAAUGAAGCACUUAAUAAUGGAGCUCUAGGAGUUCCCUGGUGGCUCAGCAGAUUAAGGAUCCAGCGUUCUCACUGCUGUGGCUCUGAUUACUGUAGUGGCUCAAGUUUGAUCCUUGACCAUAGAGCUUCUGCAUGAUGUGGGCACAGCUGAAAAAUAAUAAUAAUGGAGCUCUAGUCCUUCCAGUGUUCCUUGCUCUCUUAUUGUAAACCAGACAUAUUUGGAAAAUCCGUUAAAUUCUUCUUGCCCCAAGAACAAUGUAGUGGAAAUGGCUUAUUUUACUUUAACCACAAUUUGCAUUUCCCAGAACAUGUAGCUUUUGAAAAGCCAGUCUGUUUGGUUCAAUUUAUUUGCUGGGUACCUGCUUUCUAUUAGCAACUUAGCAAACUUCCUGUCUUUAGCAAUUUGCACUUCUUUACAUUUUUAAAAAUUUUUUAAUUUAUUUUUUCUUUUUUGACCACUCAGCAGCAUAUGGAGUUCCCAGGCCAGGGAUCAGCUCCAAACUGCAGCUGCUGCAAUACAAGAUCCUUAACCUUUGGUGCAGAGCCGUGGAUGGAAUCUGCAUCCCAGCACUCCCAAGAUACUGCUGAUCCCAUUGUGCCACAGCGGGAACUCCCUGCACUUCUUUACAUUUUUAAUAAUUCUUAAGAAAUCAUCUCUCAGGAUCAAGAAAAUAUUAAUAUGUCUUUGGAGUUCCUGAGAUGUAACUUUGAUAGCUGUUCCAUAGAAGGAGUACAAUGCAAUUUUAAUUCCAUCCCACCAGUGUUGAGUUCCUACUAGGCACCAGCAUUGUACUAGAUGCUGGAAUAGGAAGAUUCAUAAAACAGGGUGUGUGUGUUGGGGAUGGAGUGAAAGAGUUUUAUCACAAGCUCAAGUCUUGGGCAGAAGCACAAACGCCAGUGAGUGAGUGCGUGUGUGACAAGAACAAUGCAGAGGGACUGUGGGUAUGAGUCCUUUGAAAGGAAUCUUUGUAGUGUGAUCUAAAGUUUACUUAUUUGCAAUAUGUAUCAUUAUUGUUCUGAUUUCAGAUGAGAAAGUAGAAUAAGCAAUGUUUUCAGUAGGUAAGAUCUCAUCAGUUUUCCUACACUUUGCUACAUUUUGCCUUUGUUCCUCUGUUAAGAGUAUCAGUUGUGUAUCUGGAGUCAAGGUUGAGGAUGGGAGGUGCUAAAGCAGACAGAAUUCUGCAAUACUCCAUAACCACCUAUCAGCCUAAAACAGAAACAGCCUUCCUAUGUCCAAAAGCCAGUUCUGUUCCCAGAGCUAUUGAUGUAUCUACAGUUUCAAGUUUGGCUGAAUCUGAGGAAUGUCCAGCAGCAUUAGUGACAUUAUUAUUUCACACAACAAGCAGAGUACAUUUUCAACAAUGGUGCUGUAAUAGACUAGUCAUGCAAAAAAAAAAAAUUGUAGACACAUCAUACACCUUUCACAAAAAUUAACUCCAAACAGAUCACUGACCUAAAUGUGAAACACAAAACUAUAAAACUCUUAGAAGAUAAAAUAAGAGACAACCUAGAUGACCACAGGUAUGGUGAUAUAUAUAUGUGUAUGUGUGUGUGUGCACACACACAUAUGUAUGUAUUUUGUCUUUUAAGGCUGCACCUGCAGCAUAUAGAAAUUCUGGGGCUAGGGGUUGAACUGGAGCUACAGCUGCUGGCCUGCACCACAGACAGAGCAACACAGGGUUCGAGCUGCAUCUGCGACCUACACCACAGCUCAUGGCAUUGCAGGAUGCUUAACUCACUGAGUGGGGCCUGGGUUAGCACAUGCAUCCUUACGGGUACUAGUCAGAUUCACCACUACUGAGCCAUGGUGGGAACUGCUAGGUGUGGUAAUGACUUUUAGGAUAGAACACCAAAGGCAUGAUCCUUGAAAGAAUGAAUUGAUAAGCUGGACUUCAUUAAAAUUAAAAUUUUCUGCUUUGG
rnacentral:lncRNA from 1 species